rnacentral:ncRNA from 2 species
GUGUAAGUAUGAACUAAUUCAGACUGUGAAACUGCGAAUGGCUCAUUAAAUCAAUUAUAGUUUGUUUGAUGGUAUCUACUACUCGGAUAAUCGUAGUAAUUCUAGAGCUAAUACGUGCAACAAAUCUCGACUUCUAGAAGGGAUGCAUUUAUUAGAUAAAAGGUCGACACAGGCUCUGCCUGUUGCUUUGAUGAUUUAUGAUAACUCGUCGAAUCGAACGGCCUUCGUGCCGGCAACGCAUCAUUCAAAUUUCUGCCCUAUCAACUUUCAAUGGUAGGAUAGUGGCCUACCAUGGUGGUGAAGGGUGACGGAGAAUUAGGGUUCGAUUCCAGAGAGGGAGCCUGAGAAACGGCUACCACAUCCAANNNNN